rnacentral:lncRNA from 1 species
UGAACUUGCUGUGUCCUUGAGGACUUCAUCAUUUCCUGUGAGAGUCGCGCAGUAUGUGAAUCAUAAGGCCUGAUACGAUCUUGUCAUAAGGAGGAAUAAAGCACUACGGAUAUGUAAAGACACAGAGCUUCCAGGAUGUCUCUAGGAAGGAGGACUUGUGCCUCAG